UACGUAGGGUGCAAGCGUUAAUCGGAAUUACUGGGCGUAAAGCGUGCGCAGGCGGUUAUGCAAGACAGAGGUGAAAUCCCCGGGCUCAACCUGGGAACUGCCUUUGUGACUGCAUAGCUAGAGUACGGUAGAGGGGGAUGGGAUUCCGCGUGUAGCAGUGAAAUGCGUAGAUAUGCGGAGGAACACCGAUGGCGAAGGCAAUCCCCUGGACCUGUACUGACGCUCAUGCACGAAAGCGUGGGGAGCAAACAGG
rnacentral:rRNA from 1 species